rnacentral:lncRNA from 1 species
CUCUUCAGUGCACUAAGAGCACAUUGCUUACAAGUUUGAAAUGAUCUGUGCAGGAGGUUAGCUCCUUUGGCCUCAGCCGAGGAGCCAGAAGCACUGUGCUUUUAUGGGAAAGAAGCCAAGGUCAAAAGCUCUGCAGGAUCUUCACUAUAGAUGUGACUUCUUCAGAGAACUUCAGCUCCACAGAUGCAGAUGUAGAAAGCUACCUCCCUGAUGAAGCAACUGUGAGCCCCAGGGACCAGGAGACAGAGCAAGAAGACACAGGGCAUACAUCUGAAUUGGGUCAGGAUGAAGUUUCUUUCUUUGUUGUUUGCUUUUAUUUGCUCUGUGGUGCUCAAGAUCAAACCCAGAGCCUUGUGCAGAUAGGGAAGUACUCCAUCACUGAAUUACACCCUCAGACACCAAUGAUGAAGAUUUUACAGAUAGAUCCAAAUAAUAAAAAAUAAG